rnacentral:rRNA from 1 species
ACUCUAUAUUCCUGCUUAACACAAGUUGAGUAGGGAAAGUUUUUCGGUGUAGGAUGAGACUAUAUAGUAUCAGCUAGUUGGUAAGGUAAUGGCUUACCAAGGCUAUGACGCUUAACUGGUCUGAGAGGAUGAUCAGUCACACUGGAACUGAGACACGGUCCAGACUCCUACGGGAGGCAGCAGUAGGGAAUAUUGCGCAAUGGGGGAAACCCUGACGCAGCAACGCCGCGUGGAGGAUGACACUUUUCGGAGCGUAAACUCCUUUUCUUAGGGAAGAAUUCUGACGGUACCUAAGGAAUAAGCACCGGCUAACUCCGUGCCAGCAGCCGCGGUAAUACGGAGGGUGCAAGCGUUACUCGGAAUCACUGGGCGUAAAGGGCGCGUAGGCGGAUUAUCAAGUCUCUUGUGAAAUCUAAUGGCUUAACCAUUAAACUGCUUGGGAAACUGAUAGUCUAGAGUGAGGGAGAGGCAGAUGGAAUUGGUGGUGUAGGGGUAAAAUCCGUAGAUAUCACCAAGAAUACCCAUUGCGAAGGCGAUCUGCUGGAACUCAACUGACGCUAAGGCGCGAAAGCGUGGGGAGCAAACAGGAUUAGAUACCCUGGUAGUCCACGCCCUAAACGAUGUACACUAGUUGUUGGGGUGCUAGUCAUCUCAGUAAUGCAGCUAACGCAUUAAGUGUACCGCCUGGGGAGUACGGUCGCAAGAUUAAAACUCAAAGGAAUAGACGGGGACCCGCACAAGCGGUGGAGCAUGUGGUUUAAUUCGAAGAUACGCGAAGAACCUUACCUGGGCUUGAUAUCCUAAGAACCUUUUAGAGAUAAGAGGGUGCUAGCUUGCUAGAACUUAGAGACAGGUGCUGCACGGCUGUCGUCAGCUCGUGUCGUGAGAUGUUGGGUUAAGUCCCGCAACGAGCGCAACCCACGUAUUUAGUUGCUAACGGUUCGGCCGAGCACUCUAAAUAGACUGCCUUCGUAAGGAGGAGGAAGGUGUGGACGACGUCAAGUCAUCAUGGCCCUUAUGCCCAGGGCGACACACGUGCUACAAUGGCAUAUACAAUGAGACGCAAUACCGCGAGGUGGAGCAAAUCUAUAAAAUAUGUCCCAGUUCGGAUUGUUCUCUGCAACUCGAGAGCAUGAAGCCGGAAUCGCUAGUAAUCGUAGAUCAGCCAUGCUACGGUGAAUACGUUCCCGGGUCUUGUACUCACCGCCCGUCACACCAUGGGAGUUGAUUUCACUCGAAGCCGGAAUACUAAACUAGUUACCGUCCACAGUGGAAUCAGCGACUGGGGUGAAGUCGUAACAAGGUAACCGUAGGAGAACCUGCGGUUGGAUCACCUCCUUU